rnacentral:rRNA from 1 species
UACGUAGGGUGCGAGCGUUGUCCGGAAUUAUUGGGCGUAAAGGGCUCGUAGGCGGUUUGUCGCGUCGGGAGUGGAAACACUGGGCUUAACUCAGUGCUUGCUUCCGAUACGGGCAGACUAGAGGUAUUCAGGGGAGAACGGAAUUCCUGGUGUAGCGGUGAAAUGCGCAGAUAUCAGGAGGAACACCGGUGGCGAAGGCGGUUCUCUGGGAAUGUCCUGACGCUGAGGAGCGAAAGUGUGGGGAGCGAACAGG